AUUGAACGCUGGCGGCAGGCUUAACACAUGCAAGUCGAGCGGGGGAAGGUAGCUUGCUACCGGACCUAGCGGCGGACGGGUGAGUAAUGCUUAGGAAUCUGCCUAUUAGUGGGGGACAACAUCUCGAAAGGGAUGCUAAUACCGCAUACGUCCUACGGGAGAAAGCAGGGGAUCUUCGGACCUUGCGCUAAUAGAUGAGCCUAAGUCGGAUUAGCUAGUUGGUGGGGUAAAGGCCUACCAAGGCGACGACCUGUAGCGGGUCUGAGAGGAUGAUCCGCAACACUGGGACUGAGACACCGCCCAGACUCCUACGGGAGGCAGCAGUGGGGAAUAUUGGACAAUGGGGGGAACCCUGAUCCAGCCAUGCCGCGUGUGUGAAGAAGGCCUUAUGGUUGUAAAGCACUUUAAGCGAGGAGGAGGCUACUCUAGUUAAUACCUAGGGAUAGUGGACGUUACUCGCAGAAUAAGCACCGGCUAACUCUGUGCCAGCAGCCGCCGUAA
rnacentral:rRNA from 1 species